rnacentral:lncRNA from 1 species
CCGACGCUAACACCAGAUAGCCGGUGACCGAUACAAAAGCCUACUUCACACCUAAAAGUGACUUGAUGAUAGUCUCACUCACACCAUCAGCAUUAGGGAAGAGGUGGCCAGAACCUGGAAGUUCAUGGUAGUGAAUCCACGGAAGGUUUUGCGCGAUGUAUCGUUGUAGUGUGACAGGAACCAUAAUAUCUUCAUCUCCAUGCCAAAGAUGAACAGAACCUUCAUUGUUUGGAAAUGGAUUUUGAAGAUCCAAAGGUGUAUAUUCCCAUCUUCCAAAUCCAAUAUUUAAAUCACGGUGGAGGCUUUCAUAUUCACCUUGUUGUCUUAUCUGCUUCUGAAGCCACAUAAAAAGUUAUGAAUUUACAAUGAGAAUUGUAACAAGAAACACUCCAAUCGAAACAAGACAUAUUAUUAGAUAUCAUGAAAGAAAGCAUUUAGUCGACGAAAAAAACACUGCAGAAUAUUAAGCUCAAUUAAAUUGAGGCUAAUCUGAAAUUUGAAGGUACAAUUGAUCAACCACUUCUCAGAUCAUCAGAUUCUCAUAAAUCUAAUUUUAUUAUUAGUGGAGAAAACUCAAAAGGUUUCAUUCUUAGAAAAGUGCUUAUAUUUGUAGAAGCCAAAAGUUGUUUUGCAUUUGUCUGAUAACUGCAACAUCAAUUACCAAAAGGACUGAGUCAAUAAACUUCAGGUAUGGAUGCGGAGGGAAGAUUGAUAAAUACAAGGCACACUAUGAAUUGAUUCACUCGUUAUGCCAAGCUAACCAAGUGAAAGCAGCAUUGCUCUUAUAACUUUCUAAAUAAGUUGUUUAGGCUUUCUAAAUAAAAUUGUUAAACCUCUAAUUAAUUAAAAAUAUAGGAGGCCUAGGCAUAUGGGCUGAACCAUUGCUGGAGGAAGAAGGAGAAAAUGAUGUGCAGGAGGAGAAGUCCGAAGAGCAUGAACAAGAAACAGAGAUGAAAGCUUUGCAAUUAUCUUUGCGUAUAUCUGGCCUUACUUCUAUGAAAUCUAUCAAAAUGUGGGGAAUGGUGGGUGAUAAACAAGUUGCGGUCCCGAUAGGUUGUGGGGCAUCACACAACUUCAUAUCUUCCUUGCUGGUUAAAGAAGAGGAAUUGCAGGUGGAGAGUACUCUACCAUACACAGCAGAAGUGGGAGAUGAAAGAAAAAUUCGUUCAGAAGGAGUGUGCACUCAAUUAGAGUUGCUGGUUCAAGGACUGGAAAUUAAACAAGAUUUAAUUGUCUUUGAGUUAGGAGGUGUGGAUACGGUGUUGGGGAUGGAGUGGUUGUCUAGUUUGGAUGAUAUUAGAGCAAAAUCAAUUUUUAACAAUUCAACCAAUAAAAACUAUCAGCUAAAUCACUUUAUGUAUUGCUUCUAGAAAAACAACUCCAAAUUUGCGAUCAUCUAGAAGCUUGAUACUUACCACAUAAUUCUCUCUAUUUUUCAUCAACUUAGUUACAAGCUCUUUGUCUUGUUUCGAAAGGAUGUCUGGACCACCAGUAAUCACACUAAAAUUUGGGAACCAUCUUUGAGUGUUCCACCAGUAGGUUAACCAUGGCGUGUAGUGAGCAACACGAAGCGCCCAUUGGUCAUGCAAUUUCAUUUGGGAAUAGGCUUCGGCCGUUAAGUUUGCAGGAAGAUCAGGCCACCAGUAGUUGACGACUGGAGCUAAGAGCGCUGCACCUGCCAGCCUGUCAGUAUUGAAAAAGUUAGUGUCAAUAGAAGAAAACUACAAAUAAGGUAUGUUUGGAUAACCAAAUUAACUACACGCUUAUAAUAUAAGUGCUUAUGUAUAAACUAUUUCUAGAAGAAAGAAAAAAAAAAGUAAAAUUGUUUUGAUAUAAGCUAUCUUGGAGAGUUUAUGGAAAAUGCUGAAAACAACUCAUGCACAUGUCAUAAGUUGUUUCCUUAAACUCUCCCUAACAGUCUCACAAGUGUUUAUGCCAGUAGACCUAACAGUGUCACAAGUGUUUAUGCCAGUAGAUAAACUCUAGUAAGUCGAUUCAAACAAACACUAAAUCGUACCUGUGAGGUAUGUGCUUAAGGCAGUUCCAAACAAUUUGUCCACCCAUGGAAAAACCAAUGACAUAGAAUUUGGACCCCAAUCCCAAUUGAUCCGCAAGCUCUUCUAUAUCUAAGGCAAUGCUCUUUAACGUACGAUUUGGAUCGGGAUCACUUUCUCCAUAACCAGGUCUAUCAAAGGAUACAAUGUAGACCCCUAAUUCCUUAACAACAUCCUGGGCAAGCUCACAUUAAAUAUAUUAUUACAUACCAUGAAGAAAUAUGAGAAUGCACGUAUAUCAGACAGAAGAAAAUUAUAAUAUAGAAAAUUACGGGUGAUAGGGUGUUGGCAACCACAGCGUCAUGCCUGCAAGUGCUGAUACCAUGGACAAAGAUGAUUUUAUACUUUGCAACAUCUUUAGAAACACCAUGCUCUUUGUAUGCCAAAUGCCUUCCAUCUCUUAGUUUGAUUCUUGGUGCUGUUAUAGGUGGUCCAUCAGGAGAGCCGCAUACUUUGGGAGGAGGAGCUUGCGUAACUUGAUAAGCCCAUGCUAGAACCCCAAUAAACAACACUGCUAAUGUUGUUCUAAGAAUUCCUGAGUUUGUAAUUCCAAAUUAAAAGGAAGAUACAUACAAUUUAAAACAUAAAUUGUGGUUAGUGGUCCAUAAGUAAAUAUCAAAAUACAACUUAAUAAUUACAUUAUGCUGAACACAGGUAAAACUAGCUAUAAACCACAUAUUAAGGCCAACAGAGACUGAUUCAUGACUAAAAACAAUUGUUGGAUAUUUUGAAUGAAGAUUUAGUGUUGAAAGAUGUCCUAUAGUUAUCAGAGUAUUGUUUCUAUUACCUGUUUUACCUUCCAUGAGAAGAUUUUCCCAUUCAAAAGAUCCUUCUCCUUCACCCAGAGCCAAUGUUGGAACUAUCAUCCAACAUCAAUUCUUCCCCCACACUUCUUUCCAACCACCUGAACCUCUUCCCAGAUCUUCUCCCACUCCACUACUUUAUCCUAUCCAUCUUCCUAGCCAUCGAUUUCCGAAUACAAAUAGACACUCGCAUGGAACCCAUAAACCACCACCUCACCUUCAGGAUUACAUUUGUAAUUCCUCCUCCACCUCUAAUUGCACUCAUUCCAUUAAUGAAUACCUCUCUUGUCUCAAUCUUUCCUCUAGCCACAAGGAUUAUGCCCUUUCCCUCGAUGCUAUCCCUGAAUCCUCUAACUACUUUGAAGCUAGGAAGCACCCAUGUUGGGUUGAGGCUAAGAACAAAGAGUUAAAAGCCUUGGAAACUAAUUGUAAUUUGUCUAUUCUGGACAAACUUGUUGGUGUCAAUUGUAUCGGCUGUAAAUGGGUGUAUAAAGUCAAAAGGAAGACAGAAACUGAAGGGAUUGAUUUCUUUAAUACCUUUUCUCAGGUUGCUGAAAUGGCUACUGUGAGGAUGCUCAUUGCCUUUGCUAUCAUUAAAGGGCGGCACAUUAAACAAUGAAACAUGGAAAAUGCUUUCCUUGAUUGUGAGUUAAAGGAGGAUGGUAUGCCCCAAGUUUGAUGAACUCUUCCCCUCAUAGGGUUUGCAAGUUGCUUAAAUCAUUGUAUAGUCUAAUACAAGCGAGUAGAGAAUGGUAUAAACGCUUGUCCACCUUACAUUUGAGCUUAGCAUUCAAUAAAGCUCAUUAUGACCACUCGAUGCUCACCAACAUCAAAACUAUAGAACCCUCCUCCUUUAUGUGGACAACAUUGUCCAGGUUGAGGAUCAUCUUUCCGAGCUCUCCCAGAUCAAGAGUAUCAUUGACAACAACUUUGGCAUAAAAUAUUUUGGUAUCUGAAAAAAAUUUCUGGGCCUUGACGCUACUCACUCACCUAAAGGCAUUUCCCUUUGCCAAAUAUAACACUGUCUCAAUUUGCUUUCUGUCUUAGGCGUACUUGGCAGCAAACUGGUUUCAACUGCUACGGAACCUAGUUUUCAUUUGCACUACGAUGAUGGGACCCUUUUCAAUGACAUUGAUAUCGCAUUUACUUAACGACCACUGGGCCUGAUAUCACACACACUUUCUGUUCAGUUAUUCUCCCAAUUUCUAUCCAAGGCUAGUGUCUGUCAUUUCAAGGCUGCUGAAAGAGCACAUCACUACUAGAAAGGUUUACUGGUUCAGGGGAUUUUCUUCGGUGGGAAUUCUUCUCUAGAUCUUCACGGUUAUAGUAAUUCCAAUUGGGUAGGUUGUUCCGACUCACACCACACUAAAAAUAUUGCUACCUCUUUCCUAGGGGAUUCCUUGAUUACAUAUCAUUCUACAAAGCAGUCUAUUAUUGCUCGCUCAAGCUCUAAAUCUCAAUACCGUGCAAUAGCUUCAGUCAGUUACUCGCUUACUGACUUACAUAUUUCUUGUGUAAAGUUGUCCCUCUUAAUCUUAUAUAGUGAUAACAAAAGCGCCUUCCACAAUACUGCAAAACCAAGCAUCUUGAGAUUGAUUUCCGUGCGGCUAGAAUAUGAAUUAUGAAACUAUCCAUUGAAUUCACGAAGCUGCUAAUUUUGUCUCUUGCAAACCAAAUAUCCGAUCUUCACCAAAACACUUCUUCCUCGGCAUUUGUUCCAUCUCAUUUACAAGCUUCGAUUGAUAAACAUUUAUCAAUCUUCAACUUGUGGGGGUAUUACACAGUUAGCUAAUUAGUUAGUUAAAUUCCUAACUAACUGAACUAGUACAGUUAGAUUCCAGCAUGUAUAUAAACUUCAUUAUGUUGAAUUGAAUCAAUAUAUAUAUCAAAACAAAACCAUCUUCAUCAUUCUAUAUUCAUUCUAAUUUUCUUGUAACCUGAAUUAUAAAGCUGAAGAACAACACGACCCAUUAAACUUUGAAUGGUAAAAAUAAAAACUUUGAUGAAGAAAAGAGAAAAGAGAGUGAAAGAGCCAAGACCCACCUGAAGGAAGCUGAAAAGAAGUAGAUUUUUUGGCCCUUCUGGUGUGAGAACGAGCUGAUGCUGCAGAAAUUUUUCUGUUAACUCCGGUGGCCAUUGUUGUGAGAGAGGAGAAGAAUAACAGAAAAAAAUGAAACUACAGUUAAAAGAUUUUCUUCGAAAAAAAACAAAAAUGUUGAAAGAUUUAGACCCAUUUAUUAAGAUUUUGACAUCGAAUAAUUUUGAUCGUGGUAAAAAAUAUUAUUUUUUAAAUAAAUAAUUUAGUUUGUUUGAAUAUAUUUAUAUAAAAGAAAUUUUUGUCAAAAAGUAGUUCAAUCUUUUGACAUUUAAUUUUCUCUCUCUUUUAAAUUUUUUUUUUCUUUGAGAAAAUGUUUUUAAUAGCUUCUCAUUUGAAGUUCUUUUUAGAUUUCUUUUUUAAAUUGUAAUAAAUGCAUACAAUACUCUUAAAAGUGAUUAUUUUGAUUAAAAAAGUGAUUCUUUUUUUAAAAAACUAUAAAAAAAAAAAGCGGGCUCUUAUUUAUUUAUGUGAGAAUUAAAACAGAGACAGAAGAGCCGAUCGAUCUUCUUCUUUGUUUUUUUCUUCAAUUUUUGUUAUUAUUAUUAUUAUAUGAAUAUCUUGGGUCUUCAAUUUUGUAGGAUUACCGAUUAAGCGGAAAAAGAUGUUUUAUCAUCUCAUCUAAAUGAUAUUAGGUUUUUUUUUCUUCCAAUUGACAGUUCUUUAUUUUAUUUUUCAUGAAUAUUGACAAUUGUUUCUUUAUUUUAUUUGAAUCAAACAUAAACUAAUUAUAAUUAAAUUUUGAUACAAUAGUAAAAGUAAAAAAUAACAGCAAUAAAUAUAUUGUUUCAUCCGAAACUUCAAUCUAAGUUUUAUGGAGGUUGACAAUGAUCUUCAUUAAAAAAAAAAAAUAACACACCAAGACAUACGUGUCAGUGUCCUAUUACACCCUAGUUUAUUUAUCAUUGACCAACCUUUGUGUGUUUUUCCUUUAAUUUGAUAUUUUAUUUAAUUUUUAUUAUUUUCCUUUUUUAUCAAUAAAAUAGCUGAAUUUUCUAUAUAAAUAAGGUAGUAACUUUUUAUGUAACCAUGUUUAUUUCAACUUUAACUUUUAGUUAAAUAAUUGUAUGUAUAAUUUUGCUCUUUAAGUUGGCAAUUUGUCUUCUUGGUGGCGCAUUUGCAGCUUUGGAUAUGGAGAAACAAAUUGCAACUACGAGCAAUGAGUCGUCCAAUGUAAUUCUUAGGAUGGUCAAGGAGAUCGAGCACUAUGAGCAUACUCUUUUGACGGGAAGGCCGAGGCAGCAGGAGACCAUUUACAUCAGCUUGAAGCAUCCUCACGGGAAAAGGCGAGGAUAAUAUCUAAUUGCUGACGAUGACUAUAUACAUCUCAAAAACAACAUCCCAACUUCUGUAAAUUUUAAAACAAAAGAACAACAUACAUAUUUAACUAUCAAGAAAUAACUAGAUUCAUCCUACAUUCAAGUUGCUCAAAGUUUAUCAUAUGUGUUGUGUGUGAUCUUCAGUUUGAAUUCUCCGAAACGGAGAUAAUAAAUGCCCAAGCUGGCUGGAUAGCCGGUGAUCAAUACAGAAGCCUACUUCACACCUAAAAGUAACUUAAUGAUAGUCUCACUCACACCAUCGGCAUGAGGGAAAAGGUGGCCAGAACCUGAAAGUUCAUGGUAGUGAACCCACGGAAGGUUUUGUGCGAUGUAUCGUUGUAGUGUGACAGGAACCAUAAUAUCUUCAUCUCCUUGCCAAAGAUGAACAGAACCUUCAUUGUUUGGAAAUGGAUUUUGAAGAUCCAAAGGAGUAUAUUCCCAUUUUCCAAAUCCAAUAUUUAUG